CCGGCGGGCGCGCGCGCGGUGACAGAAGAGAGUGAGCACACGGCCGGUGUGACGGCACCGGCGCGGAUGUGCCGUCGCGGCCGCGUGCUCACUGCUCUCUCUGUCAUCCGCUGGCACACCCUCACG